rnacentral:rRNA from 1 species
UAGAGUUUGAUCCUGGCUCAGGACGAACGCUGGCGGCGUGCCUAAUACAUGCAAGUCGAGCGAUGUCUUUGGGGGCUUGCCCCCAAAGAUGUAGCGGCGGACGGGUGAGUAACACGUGGGCAACCUGCCUGUAAGACUGGGAUAACUUCGGGAAACCGGAGCUAAUACCGGAUAAUCCUUUUCCUCACAUGAGGAAAAGCUGAAAGAUGGCGUCACGCUAUCACUUACAGAUGGGCCCGCGGCGCAUUAGCUAGUUGGUGAGGUAACGGCUCACCAAGGCAACGAUGCGUAGCCGACCUGAGAGGGUGAUCGGCCACACUGGGACUGAGACACGGCCCAGACUCCUACGGGAGGCAGCAGUAGGGAAUCUUCCGCAAUGGACGAAAGUCUGACGGAGCAACGCCGCGUGAGUGAUGAAGGUUUUCGGAUCGUAAAACUCUGUUGUUAGGGAAGAACAAGUACCGGAGUAACUGCCGGUACCUUGACGGUACCUAACCAGAAAGCCACGGCUAACUACGUGCCAGCAGCCGCGGUAAUACGUAGGUGGCAAGCGUUGUCCGGAAUUAUUGGGCGUAAAGCGCGCGCAGGUGGUUUCUUAAGUCUGAUGUGAAAGCCCCCGGCUCAACCGGGGAGGGUCAUUGGAAACUGGGAGACUUGAGUGCAGAAGAGGAAAGUGGAAUUCCAAGUGUAGCGGUGAAAUGCGUAGAGAUUUGGAGGAACACCAGUGGCGAAGGCGACUUUCUGGUCUGUAACUGACACUGAGGCGCGAAAGCGUGGGGAGCGAACAGGAUUAGAUACCCUGGUAGUCCACGCCGUAAACGAUGAGUGCUAAGUGUUAGGGGGUUUCCGCCCCUUAGUGCUGCAGCUAACGCAUUAAGCACUCCGCCUGGGGAGUACGGCCGCAAGGCUGAAACUCAAAGGAAUUGACGGGGGCCCGCACAAGCGGUGGAGCAUGUGGUUUAAUUCGAAGCAACGCGAAGAACCUUACCAGGUCUUGACAUCCUCUGACAAUCCUAGAGAUAGGACGUUUCCCUUCGGGGAACAGAGUGACAGGUGGUGCAUGGUUGUCGUCAGCUCGUGUCGUGAGAUGUUGGGUUAAGUCCCGCAACGAGCGCAACCCUUGAUCUUAGUUGCCAGCAUUCAGUUGGGCACUCUAAGGUGACUGCCGGUGACAAACCGGAGGAAGGUGGGGAUGACGUCAAAUCAUCAUGCCCCUUAUGACCUGGGCUACACACGUGCUACAAUGGAUGGUACAAAGGGCUGCAAGACCGCGAGGUUUAGCCAAUCCCAUAAAACCAUUCUCAGUUCGGAUUGCAGGCUGCAACUCGCCUGCAUGAAGCCGGAAUCGCUAGUAAUCGCGGAUCAGCAUGCCGCGGUGAAUACGUUCCCGGGCCUUGUACACACCGCCCGUCACACCACGAGAGUUUGUAACACCCGAAGUCGGUGGGGUAACCGUAAGGAGCCAGCCGCCUAAGGUGGGACAGAUGAUUGGGGUGAAGUCGUAACAAGGUAACC